rnacentral:rRNA from 1 species
UAAAAGAAUGUUAAUAUAUAUUGCGAAUAUCUUGAUAUUUAUUAUAUAAACGUAUUAAUGUAAAUUAUUUAAUAUUUAUGGAUAAUUAAAUAUAAAUAUAUAAAAAUAAAGUGAAUUGAAUCAUCUUAUUAACUUUAAAUGAAAUAAAAAUAGAAAAAUUAAGUAAUGGCGAAUGAAAAUAAUUGAAAUAAUGUAUUAAAAUUUUUUUUACUAAAUCUUAUAAAAUUGAUGAUAGUUGGUUUUAUUGUAAUUAUAAAGUAUAAUUCUUGUUGAAAGAAAAGAAAUAAAAAAAUAUAAGAGUAUAAUGUUUUUUAUGUUAGAAAAAAGAUUUUCCAUAAUCUAAAUUUAAAAAAAUAAAUAAUCGAAAGAGAACAAGUACUGUGAAGGAAAGUAGAUGAAAGAAAACUAAGGAUAAAGUACCUGAAUUGAAAUAGUAUAUAGAUAAGCAUUUAUUAUAGACUGCUACUAUAAAUUUAAUUUACUUUUUUGUAUUUUAGGUUUAUAGUAGAUUUGUGGAUAUAAAAAUAUACCUUUUGCAUAAUGACGUAAUGAGAAUAUUUAUAUAGCAAAUAUAAAUAAAAUGAAAAUGAAAAAAGUUAAAUAAAUAUGACCCGAAGCUAAGUGAAUUAUUUAUAAUCAGGUUAAUUGAAUAAAGAGGACCGAACUCGUAUAUGUUACAUGAUAUUGAGAUGAAUUGUGAAUAGGGGUGAAAGGCUUGUCAAACUUAGUAUAGCUGGUUUUCUGUGAAAUCUAUAUAGGUAGGGUUUUUUUAUAUAAAAAUAAAGUGGUAAAGUAUAUUUGAUUAAGGGGAAGUAAAAUUUUACUAAGAUUAAAAAAGCUUUGAAUAAUAAAAUUUAAAAAAAAAAAAAAAUCAAACAGUGUGUAAUAAGGCACAUAGUUAAAAGAGAAACAGCUCAUAUUAUAAAUGAAAGUCUACAAUUAAAAAUUUAGUGAUGUAUAAUGAUUAUUAUUAUAUAAAAAAAACAAUUAUGUAUGUGACCUUGGAAGCAGGUAUCAUUGAUAGAAAGCGUAAACGCUCACGUAAUUUAUAUAUAUAAAAUUUAAAAUGUAUAUAGACUAAAAUAUUAUAACUUAAAUUAUAAAAACUGGUAACAGAAUGAUUUGUAAUUAAUUAAAGAGAUUAUUUUAAAAAUAAUUGAAUAAAUCAAAUUUAAUUAUGUUACGAUGAGUAACGUAAAAUAGUAUGAGAAAUACUAUCACUGAAAGCAAGUAAGAUUUAUAUCGAUUAGAUUAUCUUGAUAUAGUUAAACAGUAUCUAAAAAAUAAAUCAAAAUAAUAAUUGAUGAUUAAAAUAUAAUUAAUUUAUUAUAUAUAAAAAAUAAUUGUUAAAUUACAAAUAGUAAAGAAAUGUAAUUUAAUAAUAAUCCUUAUUUUAGGAAUAAUCAGGAAAAUAAUAUAAAUUGUUAUGUUUACUGUACUAAAUCCGACAAAGGUAUGUAGGUAGAAUAUACUAAAGUGAUUAAGAUAAUAAUAUUAAAGGAACUCGGCAAAUUAAUUUCUUAACUUAGGGAGAAGAAAUGUUAUUUAUAUUAUAUAAUAUAAAGACGAAUGUAACAGAAUAGGAAGAAACAACUGUUUAUCAAAAACACAAGAUAUUGCCUAAAUUGAAAAAUGAAGUAUUAUAUUUGACACCUGUCCGGUGCUAGUAUUAAAAAUAAAGAAAUGUAAGUUUUUUUUAUAAUAACUAGUAAACGACGGUCCUAUCUUGAGGAUCUUAAUAGUAGCAAAAUUCCUUGUCAUUUAAUUGAUGACGCGCAUGAAUGGUGUAAUGAUUUCUUUACUGUCUCUAAUAUUAACUUAGUGAAAAUGAAAUUUCUGUGCAAAUGCAGAGUAUUAACAAUUAGACGGAAAGACCCUAUGAACCUUUACUGUAUUCAUAUUUAAUUAAAUACAUAUUAUAUAUUUAGGAUAUAUAUGAAAUAUUAUUUAUAAAUUUAUAUUAUAUUAAUAUAAUAUAAAUUAAAAUUUAUUGUUGUUGUAAUAUUAUUUAUUAUGAUUGUAUUAAUUAUUAGUAAUUUAAAUUAUUAUAAAAUUAUAUUAUAAAAAAUAUGAUGGUCAGUUUUACUGGGGCGGUUAUCACCGAAAUAGUAACGGUGAUGUAUAAAGGUAAAUUAAUUUAAUAUCUAAACAAUAUUAAUAAUAAGCAUAAUGGCAUAAAUUUACUUUACUAUUUUUUAUAACCAUAAAAUUAGUAAUAGAUGAUUAUAACUUUUAAAAAAUGUUAUAAAAUAAAAGAUAUUUAUCAUAAAGAUCCGAUAAAAUAAAAUGGUAUAUUUAUCGCUAAACGGAUAAAAGGUACUCUAGGGAUAACAGGCUGAUAAUUUCCGAGAGUUCACAUCUACGAAAUUGUUUGGCACCUCGAUGUCGACUUAUCAUAUCCUGGUCUAGCAAGGGGCUCCAAGGGUUUAGCUGUUCGCUAAUGAAAAUGUUACAUGAGUUGGGUUCAGAACGUUGAGAAACAGUUCGGUCCCUAUCUAUUGUUAAAAAAAAAAAUAUUAAUUGAACUGUGAGCUAGUACGAAAGGACUGAAACCAGCAUACCUAUGGUGUACUAGUUAUUUUUUAUAAGUAGGCUAGAUAGCUACGUAUGGAUUUAAUAAUUGCUGAAAACAUAUAGGAAUAAGAAAUUUUUAAUUAAAUAUUUUUAUAAAGAAUUAAUUAGGCUAGUUAUAAAAAAUUAAAAUUCAUUUAUUUGUAAUUAUAUUUGUUAAUUUAAUUUUUUGCAUUCUAAUUAUUUUUAAUAAUUUAUUA